UAACACGUGGGCAACCUGCCUGUAAGACUGGGAUAACUUCGGGAAACCGAAGCUAAUACCGGAUAGGAUCUUCUCCUUCAUGGGAGAUGAUUGAAAGAUGGUUUCGGCUAUCACUUACAGAUGGGCCCGCGGUGCAUUAGCUAGUUGGUGAGGUAACGGCUCACCAAGGCAACGAUGCAUAGCCGACCUGAGAGGGUGAUCGGCCACACUGGGACUGAGACACGGCCCAGACUCCUACGGGAGGCAGCAGUAGGGAAUCUUCCGCAAUGGACGAAAGUCUGACGGAGCAACGCCGCGUGAGUGAUGAAGGCUUUCGGGUCGUAAAACUCUGUUGUUAGGGAAGAACAAGUACAAGAGUAACUGCUUGUACCUUGACGGUACCUAACCAGAAAGCCACGGCUAACUACGUGCCAGCAGCCGCGGUAAUACGUAGGUGGCAAGCGUUAUCCGGAAUUAUUGGGCGUAAAGCGCGCGCAGGCGGUUUCUUAAGUCUGAUGUGAAAGCCCACGGCUCAACCGUGGANGGUCAUUGGAAACUGGGGAACUUGAGUGCAGAAGAGAAAAGCGGAAUUCCACGUGUAGCGGUGAAAUGCNUAGAGAUGUGGAGGAACACCAGUGG
rnacentral:rRNA from 1 species